GAUGAAGAACGUAGCGAAAUGCGAUAAGUAAUGUGAAUUGCAGAUUUCAGUGAAUCAUCGAAUCUUUGAACGCACCUAGCGCCUUGUGGUAUUCCACAAGGCAUGCCCGUUUGAGUAUCAUUAAAUCAUCAACUCUAAAACCUUUGUGGUUUUUUUAGAGCUUGGUCUUGAGGGUUUUGCAGGCUUUUUUUUUUCGAGUCUGCUCCCUUUAAAUGCAUUAGCGAGACUUCCCUAUGCUGAACCGUCUCUUUGACGUGAUAAUUAUCUGCGUCGAAUUUUGGUUCUCGUUGGGCUUGCUUCUAAUCGUCUGUUAAAGACAAAACGGAUUUGGGUGCAUAUAUGCGCCUUUUUCCAAAACCUUUUUUGAUCUCAAAUCGGGUAGGACUACCCGCUGAACUUAAGCAUAUCAAUAAGCGGAGGA
rnacentral:misc_RNA from 1 species